rnacentral:rRNA from 1 species
UACGUAGGUGACAAGCGUUAUCCGGAUUUACUGGGUGUAAAGGGCGUGUAGGCGGGCUUGCAAGUUGGAUGUGAAAUUCUCAGGCUUAACCUGAGAGGGUCAUCCAAAACUGCGAGUCUUGAGUACUGGAGAGGAUAGUGGAAUUCCUAGUGUAGCGGUGAAAUGCGUAGAUAUUAGGAGGAACACCGGUGGCGAAGGCGGCUUACUGGACUGUAACUGACGCUGAGUCACGAAAGCGUGGGUAGCAAACAGGAUUAGAUACCCGGGUAGUCCCU